rnacentral:rRNA from 3 species
GGUCUGAGAGGAUGACCAGCCACACUGGGACUGAGACACGGCCCAGACUCCUACGGGAGGCAGCAGUGGGGAAUCUUGCGCAAUGGGCGAAAGCCUGACGCAGCCAUGCCGCGUGAAUGAUGAAGGUCUUAGGAUUGUAAAAUUCUUUCACCGGGGACGAUAAUGACGGUACCCGGAGAAGAAGCCCCGGCUAACUUCGUGCCAGCAGCCGCGGUAAUACGAAGGGGGCUAGCGUUGCUCGGAAUUACUGGGCGUAAAGGGCGCGUAGGCGGAUCGUUAAGUCAGAGGUGAAAUCCCAGGGCUCAACCCUGGAACUGCCUUUGAUACUGGCGAUCUUGAGUAUGAGAGAGGUAU